rnacentral:tRNA from 5 species
GCCUCCGUGGCGGAAUUGGUAGACGCUGUGGAUUUAAAAUCCAUUGACCCUAGGUCGUGCCGGUUCGAUCCCGGCCGGAGGUA